AGUGAACGCUGGCGGUAGGCCUAACACAUGCAAGUCGAACGGCAGCACAGUAAGAGCUUGCUCUUACGGGUGGCGAGUGGCGGACGGGUGAGGAAUACAUCGGAAUCUACUUUUUCGUGGGUGAGAACGUAGGGAAACUUACGCUAAUACCUCAUACGACCUACGGGUGAAAGCAGGGGAUCUCCGGACCUUGCGCGAUUGAAUGAGCCGAUGUCGGAUUAGCUAGUUGGCGGGGUAAAGGCCCACCAAGGCGACGAUCCGUAGCUGGUCUGAGAGGAUGAUCAGCCACACUGGAACUGAGACACGGUCCAGACUCCUACGGGAGGCAGCAGUGGGGAAUAUUGGACAAUGGGCGCAAGCCUGAUCCAGCCAUGCCGCGUGGGUGAAGAAGGCCUUCGGGUUGUAAAGCCCUUUUGUUGGGAAAGAAAAGAAGCAGGUUAAUACCCCGCUGUUCUGACGGUACCCAAAGAAUAAGCACCGGCUAACUUCGUG
rnacentral:rRNA from 1 species